rfam:Sorghum bicolor cultivar BTx623 chromosome 6, whole genome shotgun sequence.
GUAUGCGUAUCCACUUCAGUCCACUUGUGUUGGAGUGAAUUUGAAUGGGACAUAUGUUGAAUUGGAUUGGAGUUGAAUUAAACUAAGUCCCAUUUAAAUUCACUCCAAUACAAGUGGACUGAAGUGGAUACACAU